rnacentral:lncRNA from 1 species
GGAUUCCAUAGGCACAGUGAAGGAACGCCAUGUCUCCAAUAGGGGGCGCAGGCAAAGACGCGGUGCCACACAAAUAAAUAAAUCCAAAUUUAUUCAAAAGUAGACAUUAUUACACACAUUAUUAGCCACUAAUAUCAGGCUAAGAGUUGUUGUUAUUAUUAUAUUAAAAGUGUAUAUAUUUUCCAGUUAAUAUAGGGUAUUUUAAGCUGAAUGUAAGGUGGACUCUUGUAAUACUGCAGGUCUUGCCGCUGGGGGGCGCCGAAGUAAACAAAACUUUAAUUCUUAAAAAACAUUUUCUUUCAGUCAAACGAGCGCUGGACCUCUAAUCCACACAGAUUUCCCUCCUAAAAAAAAUUAUUUGGUUCUCUUGGUCUAGAUUUUUGGUCUAUGGCACCCUUGCAGUACCUCUGCGGCCCACUGGGGGUUUGAAGAACGCUGGACUAGAAGAUGACCAACACUGGAAACUGUGCAGCAACAGAUUCAGACUUUAUUUUAUCUACAAGUUGGAGCAGCUACUCUGACAAUGAAACACAACAGAACAAGGACUUAAGAAGCUUCAACAGCUUCACCACACAACGUCUUAUAAGCUCUGCUGUAUUUUGGCCCCAGUACAUCACUGAUAUAGUUCCAGGUGCACUGCACCACUUGAAUAAAAUUUAUUCAAACAUUUAAGGCCACGAAUAUGAGCUACAUGUUCCACUCCUGUUG